rnacentral:rRNA from 1 species
UCUUUUCCUUUUUUUCCAGCCGCCGCGGUAAAACGUAGGGUGCAAGCGUUGUCCGGAAUUACUGGGUGUAAAGGGAGCGCAGGCGGACCGGCAAGUUGGAAGUGAAAACUAUGGGCUCAACCCAUAAAUUGCUUUCAAAACUGCUGGCCUUGAGUAGUGCAGAGGUAGGUGGAAUUCCCGGUGUAGCGGUGGAAUGCGUAGAUAUCGGGAGGAACACCAGUGGCGAAGGCGACCUACUGGGCACCAACUGACGCUGAGGCUCGAAAGCAUGGGUAGCAAACAGG